rnacentral:lncRNA from 1 species
GUUUCGUUUCUUCGAAAGUUAAAUUGUCUUAAUUAUGAUUUUUAUUGUUUUGUUACAAUAAACGAUUUAUUUUAGUGAUAACAUCAUUUUCUUUCAAUUAUCUAUCACAGAGUUGACAUGAGUAGAUUUUAUUAGAGACAAGGCUUUCUCUUUUAGAUCAUUUAAGUCCAUGUUUUUAUGCUUUUUUGUCAGUGAUUACAUUAGUCUAUGUUUUGUGAAAUACAUAUGCCAUCAUCAGAGGCGGAUUUAGUACCGGUCCCCUUGUGAAGCAACAUGUAUGGGAAAUGCAUAGACCUUUUACUGAACUGGUCCGUCAUUCCAUCUAUAGCUUCGCACCGUUAGUGUAUUGAUAAGUGAACUCAACAGUUGUCCAGUUUAACCUUUAACUUGUUCUUUUUGUAUUGAUAAGGUUGGUCCCCCACCUUUCAGUCAAAACACUCGAUCUAUAUCUGCUCAUUUAUCAAGACAAUUCAAUUAGAAACAUGUUACUCUGGAAUUCAAGAAAAUGUGAAUCACGAAGUGCACUAACGUCUUAAAGAUAUUUUCGUAAUAUUAAUUUAUGCUGCAUAUAGGUAUAUUCUGAAUGAAUAACAAAAACACAUUUUUUUAUGAUUUUUAUUUUAUGUUCAACAAAAAUAAAUUAUUUUUUGGUUAAACUAUAAACCUUUUGCGUUAUAACGCAAACGCAAAUAUUUGCCUUAUAACACAAACCUUUGCGAUAUAACGCAACCCUUUGCGUUAUAACGCAAAUAUCUUGAUUUCAAUUAUUCAUUAAGUUUUGUAUAUAUGUCUGUCUGUCAUUCAUUUCGGAUGUGAUUUACUAGUAGAUAAAAAUAGAAACAUACAUACAAGGCAAAAUCAUUAUAAUAAAUAUGCAUAGGAAUAAUGGAAUACUUGAAGUGCAAUUAUACAUAAAUUAAGACUAAUUUGUGCAUCAGAAAAGUAUAUAAUUUAACAAGAAAAUA